rnacentral:ribozyme from 13 species
AGAAAAGAACGAGAACGAAAUUCAAAAAGAAAACCCCCUUUUGGUUGUUUUUUUCCUUUUGAUUUUAGACUUCCUUUUAAACUUCCUCUUAAACUGCCCAUUUUUGCAUAUUUGCAAAUAACGACCAAAUCAUUGAAUAAAAAGAAAUAUCGCGCAUUUUUUACAUUCUUUCCUU